GUUUGGGUUUUUUCUCAUGCUGGCCUCCCAGAACUGGGUGGUUCUGGGCACAGCAGAAAGGAAACUGAUGGUUGACUGCUCCCCUCUCACUACCCCCCUAGGCUGUCUCUGGGAAAGUCUCUGCCCUGGGUGCUGGUGGCGCACUGGAUUGGCCACGCUGGAAGGUGUAGAGGGGCCAUGCUGCUGACUGACUCAGAGUAUCUUCUGGUGUUCCCUAGGUGCACUUGCUGGAGCAGCACCCCUGCAACCCAUAGAGAGGGUGCCAGCUGCUCCUCAUUCCAUGCUGGUCAGUGCCAGGGAAGGAAUUGAGACCAAAGCCUGAGUCUCACCUUACCUCUCCCUCAAUUCCUUAAAGGCAGUUAGUGCUCACAGGUGGUGCUAGUAGGAAUCAGGUGUUGUGCUCCUUAGUGGGGCCCUGGGUGACCCUUUCACAAGGGUGCAAAGACAGAGAAGUUCCUUGCAUUCCGCUGGAGCUCCCAGCCCUGCCCCCUUACUACACGUCUCUGAGCAGGCAGGAGUUCAGGCCCCGCCGGAGGCACACAGCUGCAGCGCUGUCCAGGGACGCUCCUAGAUGUGCACGCUGAGGCUCCGGGAGAGGGGAAAUUCAGGGCUUGUCUACUGUAUUUAUCCUGACGGACUCUAGCGGUGACUGGAGAACCAGUGAGUUAAUUACAUCAGAGACGCUGUGCAAGUGAAAUUUCAUCAGCUGAAAGAAGGUCAGACUGUUUAAAACUCGGUAAAGACUGAGAAUGUUCCUAAUCCAUAUCUGAGACCUUUAAGACUUCUCCAGCAAAACUAGAGAAGAAAACUAGACUUGACAUUCCUGAUAUUUCUAGAUGCGGGGGAGAGGGGAGACCAUUUUUCCCCUUCUUUGCACAACUCUAUCUUUUUUUUCUUUGAAUGAAAGCCCC